CUGGCAAACACAUAGUCCAGCGCAUAUAGAAAUUUAAUCUCUUAAAAAAGACCUUUGCCUGGUGGAGAAGGCACCGAACCGGAGCCCAGUCCCAGUGUGUCACAGAGAAACCAAUUAUCCCAGGAACACCAAACCACAGAAAACAGCCAGGGCAGAGCAGGCAGCGUUUGAUCCAGGCAGCUCCACUCAAACCAGGGGAGCCUUGGUGCAAAUUCUCAUGGUCUAAAAUUGAAAUGAAAAAAAAAAAAAAAGGAGCAACAACAAAACUUAACUGUGAGUUGGUAUCAGCACGCCCAAGUGCUUACAAAGAGCAUGAAUGCUCCCAUGGAGAUUGUUCACAGCCAAAUAAGACAGAGGUCAACCACAUCCCCACCUCACAACCAAACCAGUACAUCUAGUCAACACGCUACUUGAAUUAUUUCACAAAAUAAAUUCAACUGAAAAUGCUCAACAGUGAAUUUGUGAGUUAAUAAAGCAAAACAGCACAGAUCUAUCAACAGCAAGAAGUGAGGAACCACGCCCCUGUGAAACGGUGACUUCGGUAGACAGUAAACGGAGAUAUAAAUCCCAUCCAAAUGUGAACUCACCCAACACUGUGUGCCCCACCUGGACUCUGAAGUUACAAUAGGCUUUGCUUAAAACACAACCACCUCCCUCUGGGAAGUAACUGUCUGGGUAUCCACUCAUACUGCCAUGACUUCACAUAAUUAUCCAGAGCAAUUGCAACAGGAGAGUAAGGAUUUUGUUCCAGUUAAAAUUAAAAAGGGAAAUUCUGGUUUUAGUUAAGAAUUAAUUUAGCUCAACAAUUCACAACUAAAACAUUUCAAUGGAGUUUCUUUUAAAAUAUGAUAAAACCUUAAAAAGUCAGAGGGAAGGAGUUAACCAAAGAGCUCCUGUCCAUGUAUAAAUGGCAGCCUGAGGUCUUCAAUACCUCCAGUUUUAACCUCAGGAUUCAAAAGGGAACAUAGCUCUAAUCCAAACAAGAUGCAGCUAUUACCCAACGUUCUUACUGUUUUCCUCUGGUAACAGCCACCUCAGAGCAUCGCCCUGUUUGCUUCCCACCCCUGCAUGCUGACCAUGCUUGAGGGAGAAGCCUGCAUGGCCCAGAGUCCUCACUGCUGCUCAAAUAAACUACUUCAUUUCAGCAAUCAAACGCUAGCACUGCUGAGAUGACUGGCAGAAGCCAACAGCAGCAGGAUUUCACCUCCUUUGUCCUGGUAGGCGGCUUUCCCCCUGCAAAGCAGGCUGUACUUUUGCUCUGCCCAGGUCCUCACUGGGUGACAGCUACUGGCUGCACUGGCAGGGAAAACUCAGUGCUCUGCAGCAUCAGCAGCCUGCUUCUGUCUGCUCUCACGCUUUUAGACACGUAUUGCCUGAGCAUGUCAUUAAGCAGCAGAUUAACACAUCUGACAGCAUUAGAGCAGAGGGUCACUAUGGCUCCAAAUACGUUUGAAUUCCAACUGUCAAGACAGAAGCAGCUGGGGUUUGGUGGCAGGCUUAUGGCUACAGCCCCACUACAAGCACUCGUGCUGCUUCACUAACACUGCCUACAGCUAAAAGCAAACACACAUUUUGUACAGCAUGCUAUUUAGAGCAGUAAAUGACACGGUGGUGAACAGGUCUGUGCCCAACGUACCCUCGAGCUUACAUCUGUGCCACUGCCAAACAGAAAGAAACUGCAUAUGUAGUCCAGCCUUGGAUUUUUCAGUUAUUUUCUCAGCGUCCCACCUCGUGGCGCCAGUGGGAUUACAACAGGAGAGCCGCUGCCUCCUUCUUCGCCGGCCUCGUGAUGCUCACCUAUGGGGCGAGCACCUUCUUCAGCUUCCGUGCCUGGAAAGGACUCGGCAGCAACGCAGCCACCAGCCAGGCGGCCAGCCAUGCGUGAGGCCGCCAUCAGUGGCGCUGUCCAUGGUGCUGCAGUCACGCCGAUCAGCGCUGUGCUCUCAGGUGACGGCGAGAUGCCGAGGGCCCGCCGAGGCUGAAGCUCCUGGUGGUCCUCACACGGUGCAGAGCAGCCAGCUGCUCACUGGAACACUUGUACCCAGGGGGCUCACCCCAUUGGGUGCACUCCAGUACUAACAUUCACUAAACCAAGCCCACGUGGCUGCCUGUGGUCAUGCACAGAUGCGGUGUAAAUAAUUGCAAUUAACUUCUGUCAGUGGGGGCAGAGCUGGAAGAUGAAGGCUAGGCCAAGAAAGAAGUCUAAACUGUUAUCACACUGAUCUUAACAAUAAAGAAGUCAAAGCACAGUUUUAUGCUUUAAAUAAAUAUCUUCCUAAAUCCAA